UACGGAGGAUGCAAGCGUUAUCCGGAAUUAUUGGGCGUAAAGCGUCCGCAGGUGGUUGUACAAGUCUGCUGUUAAAGCGUCCAGCUUAACUGGAUACGGGCAGUGGAAACUGUGCGACUAGAGUUUGGUAGGGGUCACGGGAAUUCCCAGUGUAGCGGUGAAAUGCGUAGAUAUUGGGAAGAACACCAGCGGCGAAAGCGCGUGACUGGGCCUGAACUGACACUCAUGGACGAAAGCUAGGGGAGCGAAAGGG
rnacentral:rRNA from 1 species